rfam:Populus trichocarpa scaffold_7_contig_12, whole genome shotgun sequence.
UAAUAUAUCUAAAAUAUAUUUUUAUUUAAUUAUAACAAACUCAUAUUUUACUAUUCAAAACCACCGAUUAUCGCAAUUCCAAUUAAGUACAUGAACAAGCCUCGCCUUUUAAUAUAACAUUAUGAAGUAUUGAAUAUGAG